rnacentral:rRNA from 1 species
UGGGGAAUUUUGCACAAUGGGCGCAAGCCUGAUGCAGCGACGCCGCGUGAGGGAUGAAGGCCUUCGGGUUGUAAACCUUUUUCGCUCAUGGUCAAGCCGCAGCUUUGGGUUGUGGUGAGGGUAGUGGGUAAAGAAGCGCCGGCUAACUACGUGCCAGCAGCCGCGGUAAUACGUAGGGCGCGAGCGUUGUCCGGAAUUAUUGGGCGUAAAGGGCUUGUGGGCGGUUGGCCGCGUCUGCCGUGAAAUCCUCUGGCUUAACUGGGGGCGUGCGGUGGGUACGGGUUGACUUGAGUGCGGUAGGGGAGACUGGAAUUCCUGGUGUGGCGGUGGAAUGCGCAGAUAUCAGGAGGAACACCGGUGGCGAAGGCGGGGCUCUGGGCCGUAACUGACGCUGAGGAGCGAAAGCGUGGGGAGCGAACAGG